AUAGUUUUUAUUGAUAAACCUGUUUCACUCCACAUAAUACUUCAUAAAGAAACAAAAGACUCAAAUAUUAAAACAACACGGUCCUGCAGAAUUUAAACUCCAGAACUGAAAAUAUAUAUGUGAAUAUAUGCAUUUGCACUUGUAGGAUGACGAUCAAACAUGUGAGUUCAGGGAAGUAUAUUAGAAGCAAGCACAAGACGUCACAGCUGAUAUUUCUGAUCACGAAUUAAAGACAUGAAGGAGAUGUAUUGAUGAGAUGUGAUGGUGACAAAAGGCCAGCAGCAAACAGUCAGUCAGCAUGUGUUCAGUUGGUGGACGGUCCCUUGUUUGUGAGGAUCAUCAGCAGAGAGAGUCCACAGCAGAACACCAGACUCUUCACUAUCAGCACUGUGGACAGCAGG